rnacentral:lncRNA from 1 species
UACCAAUCUCAUAAUUUUCAUUAGUUUAUUCUCUUGGCUCUUAAUUCCUAAUUUUUUAUUUUUUAUUUUUUUAUUUUUUAUUUUUUAUUUUGUUUUGCAUGAGGAACACUAUUUUUGGGAAGUACAAGAGAAUCGUGGGAUGAUUUAUCUCUAGGCAUUGGCUCUUUGGAAAGCAAUCACCACCAGCAGGGGAUCAAGACACUUCCACAUGGUGACGUCACAUGAAAAAAAAGAUCUUGAGAUUUCAAGAUUCCGUUACUAAAGCACG